AUACGGAGGGUGCAAGCGUUGUCCGGAUUUAUUGGGUUUAAAGGGUGCGUAGGUGGCGUGUUAAGUCAGUGGUGAAAGCCUGCAGCUCAACUGUAGAGGUGCCAUUGAUACUGACAUGCUUGAGUAUGGACGAGGUAGGCGGAAUUUGUGGUGUAGCGGUGAAAUGCAUAGAUACCACAAAGAACACCGAUAGCGAAGGCAGCUUACUGGACCAUAACUGACACUGAGGCACGAAAGUGUGGGUAGCAAACAGGAUUAGAAACCCUAGUAGUCC
rnacentral:rRNA from 1 species